CCCCUCCAUCAUCUGUCAGUGCCUCUCUGCCAGCCCCAGCAGGUCCCAGCGCCAUGGUGGAUUUUGGCAGCUCCUUGGGCUCCGUCCCUGCGCAGCCUUGGCCAGGUGGGAGGUUGGCAGCUGCCGGCCAGGAGGGAUCUCGUCGGGUUUUCCCAUCUCCAGCGGCUGGGCGGGAGAUGCAGAGCACCCCAAAUUAUCUCUGGAGCACCGAGGAUCUCCUGGGCCAGGGAGCCACUGCCUGUGUCUACAAAGCUCGCAACAAGAAAUCUGGGGAGCUGGUUGCUGUGAAGGUCUUUAAUAAUGCCAGCUACCUCCGGCCUCAGGAAGUCCAGAUGAGAGAGUUUGAGAUGCUGAGGAAGCUGAACCAUAAGAACAUUGUUAAAUUAUUUGCUGUGGAGGAGAUGGGCAGCAGCAGACAGAAGGUGCUGGUGAUGGAGUUCUGCUCCAGUGGCAGUUUGCUCAACGUCCUGGAGGACCCAGUCAAUGCUUUUGGCUUGGCUGAGUCUGAGUUCCUCAUCGUGCUGCAGUGUGUGGUGGCAGGGAUGAACCAUCUCCGGGAGAACGGCGUGGUCCACAGGGACAUCAAACCUGGGAACAUCAUGAGGCUGAUGGGGGAGGACGGGCAGAGCAUCUACAAGCUGACAGAUUUUGGGGCUGCCCGGGAGCUGGAUGAUGACGAAAAGUUUGUGUCCGUCUAUGGGACAGAGGAGUAUCUUCACCCGGACGUGUACUGGCGCGCAGUGCUGCGGAAGCCCCAGCAGAAGGCGUACGGAGUCACCGUCGACCUCUGGAGCAUCGGUGUCACCUUCUACCACGCUGCCACUGGCAGCCUGCCCUUUGUCCCCUUCGGGGGACCUCGCAGGAACAAGGAGAUCAUGUACAAAAUCACCUCUAAGAAGCCUCCUGGGGCCAUCGCAGGGGUGCAGAGGCAGGAGAAUGGGAGCAUCGAGUGGAGCUAUGAGCUGCCUGUCACCUGCCAGCUCUCAGUGGGGCUGAAGAACCAGCUGAUCCCUAUUCUGGCCAACAUCCUGGAGGUGGAUCAGGAGAAAUGCUGGGGAUUUGACCAGUUUUUUGCAGAAUCCAAUGACAUUUUGCAGAGGAUUGUGGUCAAUGUCUUCUCCCUCCAGCAGGCUUCCUUGUAUCGCAUCUACAUCCACCCCUACAACACUACCACCAAGUUUUUAGAUGCUGUCUUCAAACAGACAAAUAUAGCCCCUCACCAGCAAGAAUAUUUUUUCGAAGGCCAUCUCUACGAGCUGGAUCCUAAUCUACAAGCUCAUAACUUCUGCAGUACCACGGAGCACAGCCCUCUGACGCUGCUGAGCACUGCUGAGCAACCAGAAGAGGUGGUGGGGGUGAGAUACAGAGACCCGGCACUCGACUUCCCAAUAUUCGUCCCCAAGGUGGAUGUUGUGGCCGACUGCAGUGCAGCCAAGAGCGUGGUGGGUGCGGGGCACCAAGCGCUGCGCAUCGCCCGAGCCCUGUGGUGCUGCCGGGACCUGCUGGGCAGAGGCCUCCACUGGGUGAUUGGGAACCUGAAGACAGAAUGCUCCCGGAUUUUGGAGCAGAGGAGGGGGGCCACGGCAGUGCUGGCCUGCCUGCAGCUCACCGAGGUGAAGACCCCAGGGCUGUACGAAGCUGUUCCUGCGGGCAGCAAGGGGCUGGCCCUGAAGGAGGUGGCCAUGGUGAAGAGGAGGCUGCAGAUGGUCUCCGAGGAGCUCUCCCAGUGCUCCCACAACAUUUUUGACUUCCAAGGGGUGCUGGAUGGCAUUUUGGCCGAACUGGUGAAGCACAGGCAGCAAGUGCAUGAAGACAAAAGCAUCCGGCAGAUCGAGUGCUGCCUGGAGAAGAUGCAGCUGAUCCACAAGCAGUUCAAGAAGGCCAGGACGUGUCCCCGGCUGAGCUACAACGAGGAGCAAAUACACAAGCUGGAUAAGGUGAAUUUAGGACACCUGGCCAGGAAGAUUCUGUUGAUUUUCCAGGAUAACUGUGUCCAGCAGUACCAGGAGGCCCUGGCUCUCCACAGUGGCAGGAUGAGGAAAGUUGCAGAGGUUGGGAAGCAGCUGAAGAGGCUCAGCGGCCGCAUCAGCGCCUGCAGCCUGGAGAUGCAGGAGUGCCAGGACUGCUUGCAGAGUGCUCUGGACAAGCUUCUGCAGACAGAGAGCCAGAAUUUAGCCCCAGCUCCUCCCAUGCCUUCACCCUUCUGUCUGAGCCAUGAGAUGAUUUGUCGGAUGCAGAAGGUGGUGGAGCAGAUGAGGUCAGUAGCCCAGGAGCUCCAGUUCAACAACCGCAUCAUCGAGCAGUUAAGUGAAGCUGCCCCCACCCCAGGGAUCUGAGAGGGUAGUGAAUUUGCAGGGGCUGAAGCAAACCACAUCCCCCAGCAGGAGCCAGCACUGGGGGUGCCAAGGUGAUGGGGACGUCUGUGGCUGGUGUUGGAGGAGCUCUCUGUGUCCCUACCUCUCUCCUCCAGCACUUUUCCACUUUUCCAGCAUUACCUGGGGGUGCCCUUCAAGCCUGGAGCCUCUGGAAGCUUGAACAGAAAAUGGGGGGGGUAUUAUUUUUUACCUUUUAGAUACUGCUUGAAGGACUCGUUUCUCAAGCUUCUCUGUCUCACCAGCUGGGAUGAUGAUGAAGAAGAAGAGGAGUUCCCUCUCCCUCCAGCCCCUGCUCUGGAGGAGAUACAAAUCAGCUCAACCCAAAGCUGCUGCCAUGGGUGCUCCUCACAUCCCUCUUGGGAGCCAGAGGGCAACGGGCUCCAUCCCUGGAGCAGAACCUGCUGUGCCAGCACUGCCCCGUGUCUCAGCAGGGAGCAGAGGGAACAAGGAACAGCAGCAGCUCCAGGGCUUCAUUUUCUUGUAAGAACAAGCCAAGAGCACCCCGGAAACCUUCCGGAAUGGAAUUUGGCACCAAACCUUCCCAUUUAUUUUAAUUGUAAAAACCAACAUCCUGACUGUCAAACCCAGCUAUUUAACUGUAAAAGAGGUGGAACUUGGACAUUGCUGAAAAGCUUUUCUCCUGCAAAUUAUUUUCUAAGGAUUCUCCUAAUUUUAUAACAAACAUUGUUUUUAAAUCCAUCUCAAAUUCCCUGACAUUCCCUGUUAGGAGCAGGGCAGGGAGCCCAGGCAGAGUCUUCUGCUGCUCUUCCUUGGAUUCAGUGGAGCUGCUCUGAUUUCUACCAGCUGCCAGUUUGACCAGGAACAUGUUUGGCUUCAGCAGAAAGGAAUUUAUUUCUUGGCAAAAAGAAAAAAGAGGUUUUGCUAAUAGCCCUUGUCAUGCUUAAACUGCCC